rnacentral:rRNA from 1 species
UACGGAGGGUGCAAGCGUUAUCCGGAUUCACUGGGUUUAAAGGGUGCGUAGGUGGGCAUGUAAGUCAGUGGUGAAAUCUCCGGGCUUAACCCGGAAACUGCCAUUGAUACUAUAUGUCUUGAAUACCAUGGAGGUGAGCGGAAUAUGUCAUGUAGCGGUGAAAUGCUUAGAUAUGACAUAGAACACCAAUUGCGAAGGCAGCUCACUACGCGGUAAUUGACAACUGAGGCACGAAAGCGUGGGGAUCAAACAGGAGUUAGAAACC